rnacentral:rRNA from 1 species
UACGGAGGGUGCAAGCGUUAUCCGGAUUCACUGGGUUUAAAGGGUGCGUAGGCGGGCAGAUAAGUCAGUGGUGAAAUACCUGAGCUUAACUUGGGAACUGCCAUUGAUACUAUUUGUCUUGAAUGUCGUGGAGGUUAGCGGAAUAUGUCAUGUAGCGGUGAAAUGCUUAGAUAUGACAUAGAACACCAAUUGCGAAGGCAGCUGGCUACACGAAUAUUGACACUGAGGCACGAAAGCGUGGGGAUCAAACAGG